GAAAUAAACAUGUCUCUUUUCAAGCGAAGUACCCUCUGGUGUAUAUGUGUGUGUUUUACCCGAAAAUGUGUUUUUCUGCAGUUUAGAGCAAAAGAAAUAAGUGAAAAGCUUUAGGACUUUUAUGUAUAGAAAGGUUCGUGAAGGAAGUACACUCCUUUUAUAUCUGCAUCUACAUCGCCUGUUUUGCCCCAAUCAAUUCGUUUACGAAAAGCCUCCUACUUUAUAAUACUGACACAUAUCUACAUCGGAAGUCCUAUCUUUCAUGCGUCUCUCUUCCCAGCAUUCCUUUGUGAUGUCACGAGCAUGAUGCACGCGAGGAGCGCGCAAUGAAAUUUAGACGUGCAAAAUCGCAGGCUGCGCCAAGAUGAGAGUCAUGGAGUAAUUCUGUACGGUCUUUUCACUGGACAGGAUUGAACACAGGUCUAAGCUGAGACUACUGAAUAUUCAUCUGUGGUCAUCCAGCCACCCUGAUGACUCCAGGACCUCAGGUCCACCCAGGAAGACACACCUCACACAAUUCCACCUCAGCCAUGUUUCCCAUCAGUGGAAAGGGAACUGGAUCCUCUGGUGGGCACACACCAUCUCAGGAGUGGCAAGGGGUUAAUACCAUGGAUAGGCAGUCUGUUUCUUCAAGGCCAGGAUCUGCAGGUAGCCAGACACCAUUUCAGGAAUGGAAAGGUGUUAACACCAUGGACAGGCAGUCUGUUUCUUCAAGGCCAGGGUCUGCGGGUAGCCAGACAACAUCUGGGAGUUGGAGUACAGCUGGAACAGGAUAUGGCAGAACCUAUAAAAGUGGCGCCCUCAAACGGGUUUCCUUUGGGAGCUCCAGAGGAUCAAUGGUUGAAACACUGGUGUUUGAUGACACUGAGGACAUAGCUUUCUCGCCGCUCGAGAACCG